CCUACGGGGGGCAGCAGUGAGGAAUAUUGGUCAAUGGACGAAAGCCUGAUGGAGCAACGCCGCGUGGGUGAAGAAGGUCUUCGGAUCGUAAAACCCUGUUGUUAGAGAAGAAAGUGCGUGAGAGUAACUGUUCACGUUUCGACGGUAUCUAACCAGAAAGCCACGGCUAACUACGUGCCAGCAGCCGCGGUAAUACGUAGGUGGCAAGCGUUAUCCGGAUUUAUUGGGUGUAAAGGGAACGCAGGCGGUCUUUUAAGUCUGAUGUGAAAGCCUUCGGCUUAACCGGAGUAGUGCAUUGGAGACUGGGAGACGUGAGUGCAGAAGAGGAGAGUGGAACUCGAGGUGUAGCGGUGAAAUGCGUAGAUAUAUGGAAGAACACCAGUGGCGAAGGCGGCUCUCUGGUCUGUAACUGACGCUGAGGUUCGAAAGCGUGGGUAGCAAACAGGAUUAGAUACCCCAGUAGUC
rnacentral:rRNA from 1 species